rnacentral:rRNA from 1 species
GACGUAGGGCGCGAGCGUUGCCCGGAUUUAUUGGGCGUAAAGAGCUCGUAGGCGGCUUGUCGCGUCGACUGUGAAAUCCCGCGGCUCAACUGCGGGUCUGCAGUCGAUACGGGCAGGCGUAGGAGUUCGGUAGGGGAGACUGGAAUUCCUGGUGUAGCGGUGAAAUGCGCAGAUAUCAGGAGGAACACCAGUGGCGAAAGGCGGGCCUCUGG